CAGUCGCCGCGGUAAUACGUAGGGUGCGAGCGUUAUCCGGAAUUAUUGGGCGUAAAGAGCUCGUAGGCGGUUUGUCGCGUCUGCCGUGAAAGUCCGGGGCUCAACCCCGGAUCUGCGGUGGGUACGGGCAGACUAGAGUGAUGUAGGGGAGACUGGAAUUCCUGGUGUAGCGGUGAAAUGCGCAGAUAUCAGGAGGAACACCGAUGGCGAAGGCAGGUCUCUGGGCAUUAACUGACGCUGAGGAGCGAAAGCAUGGGGAGCGAACAGGAUUAGAUACCCGCGUAGUCCCUGUCUCUUAUAC
rnacentral:rRNA from 1 species